rnacentral:tRNA from 1 species
GCCACCUUAGCUCAGCUGGUAGAGCAGCACUUUCGUAAAGUGAAGGUCCCCGGUUCGACUCCGGGAGGUGGCU